rnacentral:lncRNA from 1 species
ACUCUGGGAAGGAUGUGUCCGGCGCCUGAGCUUCGCUGCACUGUACUAGGCCCUGGGGAACCAACCCCCACCGACAUGCCGGGCCUCUGUCUUAGGGGGCCUCGGUCUUUGUCUGGGUGUGACUGGGUGUGUUCCGCAGCGAGUUUGUGUGGGGUGUGACUAAUGGGAUUUAUGUAUGUCAGUGCCAGGGUGACUAAUGGAGGGCUUGGCAGCACGUGUGUUUGGGGAGGGACACUGCACCUAGGUGGGGAGUCCGUGUCCCAGGAGGGGGCUGCCUAGUCUCUCAGAAGUUCCACUCCCCUCCCCCACCCCUGGUCCCUGCUUUGUUUGGGCUUCUGCACCUCCCCAGCAGGCCCGUGCAUGCUAAGGGUUCUGGAGCAAAUUCCACUGCCAACCCGGCCCCCAGAGGCCCUCCUCGCCUCCCACCUCCCUAACCCACGUGGUGCCUCCGGAUUGGGCUGCCAGCCCUCCCUCCCCCCUGUUUUCCUGUCUCUGAAAGUUCCCUGGGAUGUCCUGGGCAUCUCUCCCCUGGACCUGUGAUUUGGUUACUGUCCUAUCCAUUUCUGCUUGAGGGGCAGAAAGGAAAAGGGACAAUCACACAGCUGGAAAGUGGCAGCAAGCAUCAUCUACCAAGCCAGGCAGAGUGUCUGAAAGGUGAAACCCCAGCAUCUCCCCACUUUUGUGUGUGUGUGUGUGUGUGUGUGCACGCGCGCGUGCGUGUGCGUAUGCUGGGCAUGGAUCCCCUAGCUCAUGUGUGUUAAAGCUGAGCUCUCUACCAGUCAGCUACACUCCCAGCCCCUCAGCACACCUAACAAGCUGACCACCUGCCUUGCCACCCCCACCUGUAUCCUUUCAGUCCUCUCUCUUGGCUACUGUGGAAUUUGUCCUACCCCUGGUGGGGGGAGGGGAGGCAACGGAGGUCCGAGAUUGGUGGGAGUCCCUGGUUUGGCCUGGGGCAAGUAGAGAUUGG